GAUGAACGCUAGCGGCAGGCUUAACACAUGCAAGUCGAGGGGCAGCAUGGGGAGUAGCAAUACUCUCUGAUGGCGACCGGCGCAAGGGUGCGUAACGCGUGAGCAACUUGCCCUCAUCAGGGGAAUAAUCGCUGGAAACGGCGUCUAAUGCCCCAUGGCGAUGGAAUCAGGCAUCUGGUUCCAUCUAAAGAUCCGUCGGAUGAGGAUAGGCUCGCGUGACAUUAGCUUGACGGCGGGGUAACGGCCCACCGUGGCGACGAUGCGUAGGGGUUCUGAGAGGAAGGUCCCCCACACUGGUACUGAGACACGGACCAG
rnacentral:rRNA from 1 species